rnacentral:rRNA from 1 species
AUAUCAGUAAGCGGAGGAAAAGAAACUAACCAGGAUUCCCUCAGUAACGGCGAGUGAAGUGGGAAGAGUCCAAAUUUAAAAUCUGGCUUGAUUUCAAGUCCGAAUUGUAGUUUAAAGAGACGUUAUCGACGAGACUUUAGUUGUCCAAGUUCCUUGGAAUGGGACAUCACAGAGGGUGAAAAUCCCGUCUAGGCAGUUAGAAGUCGAGUCACAUGAGGCGUUCUCCAAGAGUCGAGUUGUUUGGGAUUGCCGCUCAAAAUGGGUGGUAAACUCCAUCUAAGACUAAAUAUAGGCAAGAGACCGAUAGCAAACAAGUACCGUGAGGGAAAGAUGAAAAGCACCUUGAAAAGGGAGUUAAAAGCGC